rnacentral:lncRNA from 1 species
GGAGACCUGUGGGUCUCUGUGAGUUCCCAAGCAGCCUUGCCUACGUAUCAAGUUCCGGGCUACCCUGGAACUACAGGCUACAUAGUAAGACCCUGGAGAGAGAGAAAGAGAGAGAGGGGUGGGGGGGCAGAGGGAGAGACAGAGAGAGAUAGAGACAGGGAGACAGAGAGACAGAGACAGAGAGACAGAGACAGAGAGACAGAGACAGACAGAGAGAAAGACAGACAGACAGACAGACAGAGACAGAGAGAGAUAGAGAGAGAGAGACACAGAGACAGACAGAGACAGAGACAGAGAGAACGAAGCAGGGGUAGGGGGAUAGGAGUACAAGGCCAGUCAGGUUACAUUGUGAGACCCUUUCAAAAUAUAGUAAAUAGAACUUCAAAGUGAUUUAAGAGUUUAGGGUCUGAGUCAGACAGAGAACCCUUAGAAUAUAGUAAAACA